rnacentral:lncRNA from 1 species
CCCAUUUCUGAUCGGGUUCUAUCAUCUGAGUCGUCUGCGGUCCAAAAUUAUUAUUUUACGUGCGAGUGUUAUAUAAGAUCAGUUAUUUUGGACUACAUCAAAUCUACCAUCAAGGGAAAGUAUGGAGACUCCGGAAAGUGACCAGUUCAAUUCUACUCAGGAAAUGCAGUGUCCAUCAAUUGUGGGCAGGCGAAGUGUGGAGAUGAAAAGUGUCGCGGAGGAGUUCUUCUGUCUCACUGAUGAGACGGACCAAGGGAGGAUGAGUGUGUCAACACGUGGAGCCAGUAUGAGGAGCAGCCACACUCCUGGACACGGCAAACGGAGUGAAUCUGUGCUGCGCAGGACUGUGACCUUGGAUUAUAAUGAUGGUGAUGACUGUGAUGAUACAGAGGGAAUCGCUGAACAUGCAACAAAACCAGAAGUCACAGAAGUGCGAAGGCUCUGCAGAAGAUCAGGACCUCCUUUCUUGCUGUUCUCCCCUACGGAAAGCCUGGGGGACAUACUGUACAGGAAAACCAAGCAUGUGUUUGACUACACAGUCACGGACAUGAAAGACAAAAAGCCCGAUGUUUCAAGGUGUGGUUCCAAUCUAAACCAGUGUGUUAAACCAGCCCUUCCAGUACGGAAGGGCUUCAAUGUAUCCACAUCUAGGUACAGCCAGAGAAGGGUACAAUCAAUUGAUCAGAUGACGGUGAUCAGAAAAGAUCAUGUCGGUAGGCCUUUACUGAUGCUGAAAGGCAAUGCAAGUCUAACCAACAGUGAUGGAAGCAACAACACGGAUUCAUUUGCUUAUUCAUCCAGACUCACAAAGGGAAAACCAUCAACCUCCUCUCAGCCAGGACCUGUCAUCAGGAUCCCACCAGUAUUAACCAGGAAGCAUUCUGACAUCAUCAGAGAGGAAAGAAAGAGGCACUACUACAAAGACCUGUGUCAGCAGGUGGAGGAGAAGAGACAACAAAAAGCAAGGGAGAGGAGAAGGAUUACCGCCGCCGAACAAACUCACAAUGAGACAAUGCAGUUCUGCACCUGGGGGAUGCCAGGGAGCGGAGCCCCAAACUACCACCUGGACUCUGUGAGAAGGAACAAGUUCAGUUCCACAGAAAUGAUACCCCAGGAACAGCUCCGCUGUAAAGGCUUCAGCGGGAUCCCUUUUCAUCUGCAUGUCAAAUGACGGCCAUUUUAUGGUCCCCCAGCCCAGACGAUUGAUGCUCAGCUCAGACAACUGAUAAACCCAUUAAACUAACGCAGUAGUAGACCAAACACUGCGCUCUGCUGACUUCUGUCCCAUAGGUGGUAGAUAAGUCAUCGAUUAGCUGGAUUUCAGCACUCCUUGGCACUUGUAUCUAUUGAUUAAUUUACUGUUUCAAACUACCAUGCGGGCAUAACCACACUCAAAACAAUUCUGGAACUAAGGUUUUACACAUUCUGAUGGUGUUCAAAUCAGUUGUAAUGGUAGCGAUGCACAUAAACAGUAAGAUAUAUAUAUAUAUAUAUAUAUCAUACACACACAUAAAUGCUACAGUGGUAAUUGACAGAUCGAUAGCAUGGUGAGAUAAUGAAUAGAAACAGUAGCUCACUAAAGAUAAGACUGUACACAAAAAAAAGCUCCUAACUGGUCGCGAAAGUGAUAAGAUACUGUCUGCCUACAGUCAAAGAAUUCUUCUUUUUUUUUUCAUCAUAUUUUAACCAUUUUAUAUGAGUAAUUUUGUAUGUAUAUUGAAGCCAGAGUUGUAGUGAAAUAAAACUCUCCUGUCAGAUUAAGAGACUGGGUG